rfam:Danio rerio chromosome 4, GRCz11 reference primary assembly.
GCAGUGGUGGUUCACUGGUAGAAUUCUCGCCUGCCACGCGGGAGACCCGGGUCCGAUUCCUGGCCAAUGCA